rnacentral:tRNA from 1 species
AUUCAUUUAGUAUAAGAAGUAUAUUAAGCUUCCAACUUAAAGGUUUGAAAAAAAAAUGAAUA